AGGGCACCACCAGGAGUGGAGCCUGCGGCUUAAUUUGACUCAACACGGGGAAGCUCACCCGGCCCGGACACUGGAAGGAUUGACAGAUUGAGAGCUCUUUCUUGAUUCAGUGGGUGGUGGUGCAUGGCCGUUCUUAGUUGGUGGAGUGAUUUGUCUGGUUAAUUCCGAUAACGAACGAGACUCUAGCCUACUAAAUAGACCUCGGCAUUCUUUGUACUGUCGAGGCGCUUCUUAGAGGGACAGGCGGCGUUUCAGCCGCAUGAGAAAGAGCAAUAACAGGUCUAUGAUGCCCUUAGAUGUCCGGGGCCGCACGCGCGCUACACUGAAGAGAUCAGCGUGCAUGUGCUUCCUACUCCGAAAGGAGCGGGAAACCGAGUGAACCUUUUUCGUGCUUGGGAUUGGGGAUUGUAAUUAUUCUCCAUGAACGAGGAAUUCCCAGUAAGCACAAGUCAUCAGCUUGUGUUGAUUACGUCCCUGCCCUUUGUACACACCGCCCGUCGCUACUACCGAUUGGAUGUU
rnacentral:rRNA from 1 species